rnacentral:lncRNA from 10 species
GUGCGAGACGCAGCCCCUCCCGCAGCAGGGCAAUAACUCACGGUUUGUGAACCUGUGGACCUUAUUUGAGCAUCACCGGUUGCAAGUAUGUGGAGGAGGAGAAGAUGCAAAAAGAGAAAUUGUUUACUUGCAGAGACACAGAGCGCCUGGGACUCAGGAAUGCCAGGGAAGACAGGGUGUGUGGCUCACAGUGCUCCCAAAUGGAUAAAACUAUAGAAGCC